UGCACGGGGCAUAUGUCAUCGGCUGGGCCAAGCUUCUUCCCGAGCUUCUUCCCAAGGAAUCGAAUGCAUUGUCGCCAGCCAUUCUAUCCCAUGAAGUGAGACCCUCACAAGAGGAUUGCCAUGGUCAUGGUAAUGAUAAAAUAGCCUGUCAUUGUGCUGUGCUGUGCAUAGUACUGGUACACAUCUAUUGGAUCCUGGGCGAAGAAGAGUGGGGAGAAACAGAGGAAACACAGACGGAAGGGGAAGGGUCCGGACAGAAAUUGAAUAAACCGUAGAUCUUCAAUUUCUCGGCUGUCCCCCAUCCUAUUUCUAAUUCUGUCGAGUUUGUUUGUUUACCCUAUUGGAGAAACCUAAGGGGUGUCGUUUAGUGCAAGGAUGCUGUGCAGUAAGAUAUCACGCAUGCACCACGGCUUGGUAGCAUAAAUACCUCCACCCACGUUACGAACUCACACUCCAUCAAACCUGUUUUCGACUCAAUAUAGACAUUGCUGCGGGUCCGGGUGUGUUGCACGCUGAACAAAGGGGUCAAGCGUUCCAUCAGCCAAUAAAACUUCAUUUACAUCGCACGACUGCAGUCUUCCAUUCAGCUUCUUUGCAUCUGCUACUUUGCUUCACUUCAUACAUACACUGCAGUUCAUGCAGAUAUCCAUCCAUCCAUAUACUGUACCUACCACCAU
rnacentral:sRNA from 1 species